UACGUAGGUGACAAGCGUUGUCCGGAUUUACUGGGCGUAAAGGGCGCGUAGGCGGCCACCGCAAGUCGGUUGUGAAAUCUCUGGGCUUAACCCAGAAAGGUCAACCGAUACUGCGGGGCUAGAGUGCAGAAGGGGCAACUGGAAUUCUCGGUGUAGCGGUGAAAUGCGUAGAUAUCGAGAGGAACACCUGCGGCGAAGGCGGGUUGCUGGGCUGACACUGACGCUGAUGCGCGAAAGCUAGGGGAGCGAACGGG
rnacentral:rRNA from 1 species